GAUGAACGCUGGCGGCGUGCCUAACACAUGCAAGUCGAACGGACUUACAUUGAAGCCUAGCGAUAUGUAAGUUAGUGGCGGACGGGUGAGUAACGCGUGGGUAACCUGCCUUGUACUGGGGGACAACAGUUGGAAACGACUGCUAAUACCGCAUAAGCGCACAGCUUCGCAUGAAGCGGUGUGAAAAACUCCGGUGGUACAAGAUGGACCCGCGUCUGAUUAGCUGGUUGGUGAGGUAACGGCCCACCAAGGCGACGAUCAGUAGCCGGCCUGAGAGGGUGAACGGCCACAUUGGGACUGAGACACGGCCCAAACUCCUACGGGAGGCAGCAGUGGGGAAUAUUGCACAAUGGGGGAAACCCUGAUGCAGCAACGCCGCGUGAGUGAAGAAGUAUUUCGGUAUGUAAAGCUCUAUCAGCAGGAAAGAAAAUGACGGUACCUGACUAAGAAGCCCCGGCUAACUACGUGC
rnacentral:rRNA from 1 species